GUGAGGAAUAUUGGUCAAUGGACGAGAGUCUGAACCAGCCAAGUCGCGUGAAGGAAGACGGUUCUAUGAAUUGUAAACUUCUUUUGUGCAGGAAUAAAGUGGGUUACGUGUAACCUUUUGUAUGUACUGUACGAAUAAGGAUCGGCUAACUCCGUGCCAGCAGCCGCGGUAAUACGGAGGAUCCGAGCGUUAUCCGGAUUUAUUGGGUUUAAAGGGUGCGUAGGUGGAUUGAUAAGUCAGCGGUGAAAGUUUGCAGCUUAACUGUAAAAUUGCCGUUGAAACUGUCGGUCUUGAGUGCAAAUGAGGUAGGCGGAAUGUGUUGUGUAGCGGUGAAAUGCUUAGAUAUAACACAGAACUCCGAUUGCGAAGGCAGCUUACUGGGAUGCAACUGACACUGAUGCACGAAAGCGUGGGUAUCAAACAGGAUUAGAAACCCUAGUAGUCC
rnacentral:rRNA from 1 species